CCUACGGGUGGCAGCAGUGAGGAAUAUUGGUCAAUGGGCGAGAGCCUGAACCAGCCAAGUCGCGUGAGGGAAGACGGUCCUACGGAUUGUAAACCUCUUUUGUCAGGGAGCAAGGAGCGCCACGAGUGGUGCGGCGAGAGUACCUGAAGAAAAAGCAUCGGCUAACUCCGUGCCAGCAGCCGCGGUAAUACGGAGGAUGCGAGCUUUAUCCGGAUUUAUUGGGUUUAAAGGGUGCGCAGGCGGAAGCGGCAAGUCAGCGGUAAAAUGUCCGGGCUCAACCCGGGCCGGCCGUUGAAACUGGGGAUCUUGAGUGGGCGAGAAGUAUGCGGAAUGCGUGGUGUAGCGGUGAAAUGCAUAGAUAUCACGCAGAACUCCGAUUGCGAAGGCAGCAUACCGGCGCCCGACUGACGCUGAGGCACGAAAGCGUGGGGAUCGAACAGGAUUAGAUACCCGAGUAGUC
rnacentral:rRNA from 1 species